rfam:Capsella rubella cultivar Monte Gargano unplaced genomic scaffold scaffold_1, whole genome shotgun sequence.
AAAAACGGGCAAGAGAGAGUAACGGUGUCUCUGUGUCCUUAAAGAACCGGCGAGGGAAACUAAUCUGGCCGAGAUAUAUCGUUUCUGUCGUUCUUUUUUCUGGUUAACGAUCUGAUUGUUACUCGUCCACAU